CCUACGGGGGCAGCAGUGGGGAAUAUUGGGCAAUGGAGGAAACUCUGACCCAGCAACGCCGCGUGAAGGAUGACGGUUUUCGGAUUGUAAACUUCUGUAGCGAGGGAUGAAGAAUGACGGUAACUCGUAAGAAAGCCCCGGCAAACUACGGUCCAGCAGCCGCGGUAAUACGUAGGGGGCGAGCGUUGACCGGAAUGACUGGGCAUAAAGGGAGUGUAGGCGGCAUAUUAAGUUAUGUGUGAAAGCCCCGCGCGAAACGUGGGAACUGCCUUUGAAACUGGCAAACUGGAGUGUGUGAGAGGAUAGUGGAAUUCCAGGUGUAGGAGUGAAAUCCGUAGAUAUCUGGAGGAACAUCAGUGGCGAAGGCGACUAUCUGGCACAUAACUGACGCUGAGGAGCGAAAACGUGGGUAGCAAACAGGAUUAGAUACCCCAGUAGUC
rnacentral:rRNA from 1 species